GAAGCAAAGCUGGGGCCCCACCCCUGUCUGGCCCAGAAGCACUGCUCUCCUAAGUCUCUGUCCCUAUCUGGAGCCCUGCCCUAGACUGACCUGCCUUUCUGCAGCUGACACAUGUGAAUUCAUGAGGACCGGGAAGGGCUCCUAAUAUUUCCAUCUGAAGCAGUAUCUCUGAAAUUUCAUAGACAUGCGGUCACGCACACAUCUUUCCAAGGUCUCAGAAGCACAACAGCUAUUCACAGCUCUUCUGAGAACAGACAAGGGGCUUGCAGGUACAUCUGGCACAGGAAGGUCAAGGUGGCCAGCAUGCACAUGCAGAUGCAUAGCUAACACUGGGGAAAACCAGACUGGAAUAAUUCUCUGAGCUUUCUCCUUAGAGGCAGCAGUCAAAGCAAUGGGAGUGCAUGCAGUUGAUGAGAAAAAAUAAUGAAGAACCAGAGAGGAGGAAAGGAAAGGGGGUAAAGGAAUCAUCUUGUAGAAAACCCACAGCUAAGGGUCAAGAAGGAGAAGGUUAAGCAGGGGAGUGACCAACAGGUUGGUUGUUAGCUCUGCUCUGUAGACCUUUAAUUUGUUUGGAACUUGUUUGCCACCCUGACAUCGUAGCUGGCUUGCUAAUGUUCCAAAUGACCUCCAGCUUGCUUGUCUGUAUUUUUCUGGACAUUAUGAUGCCCAAGUAACAGAAUACUGUUGCUGAGAAAGAUCUUUUACAAAAUCUCUGUUGUACAAUUAGAGCUUGUUCAUUUUAGGUUUUUUUUUUUUUUUUUUUUUUUUUUUAAAUCAGACCAUA
rnacentral:antisense_RNA from 1 species